AGCAGCCGCGGUAAUUCCAGCUCCAAUAGCGUAUAUUAAAGUUGUUGCAGUUAAAAAGCUCGUAGUUGAAUUUCGGGAUCAAGUCGUCGGUCGUGCCUCGGUACGCACUGGUGACAUUGGUUUCUCCCUUCUGAAGAACCUUGAUGUCAUUAAUUUGGUGUCUUGGGGAAUCAGGACUGUUACUUUGAAAAAAUUAGAGUGUUUAAAGCAAGCUCACGCUUGAAUACAUUAGCAUGGAAUAAUGAAAUAGGACGUUUGAUUCUAUUUUGUUGGUUUCUAGGUCGACGUAAUGAUUAAUAGGGAUAGUUGGGGGCAUUAGUAUUCAAUUGUCAGAGGUGAAAUUCUUGGAUUUAUUGAAGACUAACUACUGCGAAAGCAUUUGCCAAGGAUGUUUUCAUUAAUCAAGAACGAAAGUUAGGGGAUCGAAGACGAUCAGAUACCGUCGUAGUCUUAACCAUAAACUAUAGCCGACUAGGGAUCGGAUGAUGUUAAUUUUUAAUUGACUCAUUCGGCGCCUUAC
rnacentral:rRNA from 1 species